GGCCGUGGUUAGGGCGGACGGAGAAGGGGCGUUCGCUCCUCUGGGACUUUUCAUGCCUCGUAUUUUUUUCAGAUGUGGCUUGGUCUGGGCGCAACGUCCCAGCAGCCAGCUUAAGCUUACUCUUCUGUGAAAGGGGAAAGUAUCCCCUGUGGAAAGCGGUUAAACUUGUGGAGGGGGUGCGGGACGUGAGUUCUUCCCCAUGCCAGGCGAAUGGUGUGGCCUUGAGCUGGUCCAGGAGCCGGCUCGACGUGUCUGAGGGAGGCCCCGGAGGGGGCGGGGAGGUGGCCCACAGAACGCGGGUUCUGUAAAGAGACGUUGGGAAGAUUCGAUUCCGAGAAGAGGAAGAACCGGAUUGAAAGAGAGCCAGGCCGCUGAGGGGGAGGGGGCUGCCAAGAUGGCGUCGGCCUCCUCCGGGCCGUCGUCUUCGGUCGGUUUUUCAUCCUUUGAUCCCGCGGUCCCUUCCUGUACCUCGUCCUCAGGUUUCAACUUUCUGUGCUGUGGGGUCAGUCGUAAGA
rnacentral:lncRNA from 1 species